AGGAAAAGGUCGGAGUUCCGCGGGGCCUCAGGAUUUGAACCGAUGCCAAGCAUGCGCACACAGUCGACAGGAAAAGGUCGCAACGUCCGCUUGGAAACUAUUCUAGGAUAUCGGAGAC